GACAGAGGGUGCAAACGUUGCUCGGAAUUACUGGGCGUAAAGCGCGUGUAGGUGGAUUGGUGUGUCAGAUGUGAAAGCCCUGGGCUCAACCCAGGAACUGCACCUGAAACUACCAGUCUUGAGUGGUGGAGAGGGAAGUGGAAUUCCUGGUGUAGAGGUGAAAUUCGUAGAUAUCAGGAGGAACACCAGUGGCGAAGGCGGCUUCCUGGACAAUACCUGACACUGAGGCACGAAAGCUAGGGGAGCAAACAGG
rnacentral:rRNA from 1 species